GCCACUGUGGUGUAGUGGUUUGAGCAUUGGACUAGGACUCUGGAGACCAGGGUUCAAAUCCCUACUUGGCC
rnacentral:tRNA from 1 species